GAAGACAAAUCUGGCAGAAUUAUUCACUAGAACUAUAGGAAGUGCAAAGCGUUCAAAGUGUCGGCAAGUAGUGCUAAAUGCUCAGUGUGUUCUAAAGUUGUGACAAAAUGUGAAUGGAGAAGGAUGGGAGGGAGGGAUAUUUUAUGUCAUUUUAAAAUAUUUUAUCCAUACUAAAUGUUGUAUACGUAUAGGGCAGGAGUAGGCAACACUUGGCACUCCAGAUGUUGUGUACAACAUCUCCCAUAAUGAUGGCAAAGCUUCAAAUGAGAUAUAGUCCACAAUAAUAUGUGUGGGUGCACUUAAAGAAAAAGUGUUAAAUUAUUGGGGAACAAACACA